ACAGUGGUGGUUCAGUGGUAGAAUUCCUGCCUUCUACAUAAGACCUGGGUUCGAUUCCCAGCCAAUGCC
rnacentral:tRNA from 1 species